UCAGAGCGCCUCAGCCCUGUGGUGCCACUUUUGCCAGUGCGCCGUGAACAUCUCUAGGUUAGGAUGCGGUUGGAGACUGUGGAGGCACUGGUGUUGAUGCGACGCUUCAGGUGGGCUGGCGUCUGGGCCUGGUCGCUUCAGUCUUCCUCAAAGCCUCGCCCCCGGUGCUUCGCCCGCUGCUCUGAACGCCCAGUCGUUCCUCAGAGAGCGCCGCAGCGAUCGGCCGACCGCCAUCCCCCGCGCGCCUCUGCGCAGCCCCGGUAUCCCUCUCGAGUGUCCCCAUCCGAGCGGAGGAGAGGCCACCCUCUCUCUCCUUGGCCUGGCCUCCCGGGAAGAAUCGGGAGCGGACCCUGGCGCCUCGGCCGCCGGCGAUGGACGCAGACGCGGACAAUUAGAUGACGGCGGGGGGAAGCGGGACCCCGCCGUCCGCUGCGGGACGCCCGAGGCGGAGAGAGGCCCUUCUGAACUCCGGAUGUUGACGAGACUUAACUAGGGUACCACGGAGGAGUACAGUGAACUGCGGUGGCAUCAGUGGCCUGGAGAAAUUGGCAUUUAAAUCUGUUGUUUUGGGCACCAUGACGCUGAGGCUCUUGGAAGACUGGUGUAAAGGGAUGGAUAUGAACCCUCGGAAAGCUCUAUUGAUUGCCGGCAUCCCCCAGACCUGUAACGUGGCGGAAAUCGAGGAGGCCCUGCGAGCUGGUUUAGCUCCCUUGGGCGAGUACGGACUGCUCGGGAGGAUGUUCCGGAGGGAUGAGAACAGGAAGGUAGCCUUAAUAGGGCUUACUGAGGAGACUAGUCAUGCUCUGGCCCCAAGGAGAUACCCGGAAAAGGGGGUGCCUGGAGAGUGAUCUUUAAGCCCCCUGACCCAGAUAAUGAAUUUUUAAGCAGAUUAAAUGAAUUCUUAGAGGGAGAGGGCAUGACACUGGGUGAGUUUACCAGAGCUCUGGGAUAUGGAAACGACACUUUUGGCCUAGACCAGGACAUAAUCCCAGAAAUGCGGGCCCCUGUGUUGGCACAGGCAUUAGGUGAGGCCCUUCAGCCUGUUCUGCAAUACUUGAAAUACAAAAAGCUGAGAGUAUUCUCAGGCAGUGAUCCUCCGGAACCAGAGGAAGAAGAAUUUGAAUCCUGGCUGUUUCAUACCACUCAAAUGAUGAAGACAUGGCAGGUAUCAGAUGCCGAGAAGAGAAGGAGACGGCUAGAGAGCCUUAGAGGCCCAGCAUCUGAUAUUAUUCGUGUCCUCAAGAUAAACAACCCAUUAAUUACAGUUCCUGAAUGCGUGCAGGCUCUUGAGCAGGUGUUUGGGGUUAUCGAUAAUCCUAGGGAGUUGCAGGUCAAAUAUCUGACCACGUACCAAAAGGAUGAAGAAAAAUUGUCUGCUUACGUGCUAAGGCUGGAGACUUUAUUACAGAAACUGGUAGAGAGAGGUGUAAUUGAGCGAGGAGUUGUGAAUCAGGCCCACCUAGACCAAAUCAUUGCUGGAGCUGUCCCCAGAACCCCGCGCGGAAAGUUUGCUCUGUCAGAGGAUGGCUCAGCCCCUGGCUUAUUGCAGUUACUGACACUGAUAAAGGAUGAAGAGGCAGCUGAGGAGGAGGACCUUCUCCAGGCAGGAUUAGAGGGCCUUCUCACUUGACUCUUGGAAUCAGGAAGGGCUCCCUGGCAGUGAGCAGAGCAUGAAGGUAGAACAGUCCAUAUACCCAGUGAUAGACAUUAACCAAUCCCUGCCUUGCGCUGCCAAGUUAACUCAUUUUUGUGCAGUUCUCAGUAUAAUCCUUUGUCAUUUCUCUGCCUAUUUAAUGUCUCCUAAAUGUGUCAUUGACUAGGAGGAUGCAGUUCUGCACUGGUAUUUAUAUUUUUAAAUUCACCCUGUGAAUUUUUUUUAUCACACACAGCUGUACAGAAAGUCGAAGCACUACACGUGUGUAGUACUUUGAGAGAACAGGCAAGGCUCAGGUACACAUGCUGGCCAGAUCUCCUUGAGCUGUCAGCUUAGGUGAUAAUAGGUGCAAGUGUAGCUGUCAGAUGUGAUAAUGUAUCGUAGUUUCUCUCUUUUUGUUGUUUAUUUGUUUAUGUUAACAUAGUCUACAAUGUGUUAGAUUCUGGUGAAUAGCAAAGUGAUUCAGUUAUGUAUAGAUUCUUUUCCAUUAUAAAUUACUACAAGACAUUGAAUAUAGUGUCCUGUGUUAUAUAGUAGGUCCUUGGUUAUUUUAUAUAUGACAGUGUGUAUCUGUUAAUGCCAAACUUCUGAUUUACCCCUCCCUCCCCACUCUGCCCCCUUUGGUAACCAUAAGUUUGUUUUCUAUGUCUGUGAGUCUAUUUCUGUUUUGUAAAUAAGUUCAUUUGUAUCAUUUUUUAGAUUACACAUAUUAUUAUAUGAUGUUUAUCUUUGUCUGACUUAGUAUGAUCAUUUCUGUGUCCAUCCAUGUUGCUGCAAAUGGCAUUAUUUCAUUCUUUUUAUGGCUGAGUGAUACUCCAUUGUGUAUGUAUAUACCAUAACUUCUUUAUCCAGUCACCUGUCAAUGGACAUUUAGGUUACUUCCAUGUCUUGGCUACAGUAAAUAGUGCUGCUACACAUAUAGUUUUUAGGUAUGUAUUGCUCUACAUUAAUCUGGAAGAUCAUGAGCAGUGGAUAAGAUAUUAUUUUCUGUGUAAAUCGGAAUUUUAUUGCUUCUGUGCCAUCAAAACAGGCAGAAUUAAGUGCUGAAGUUGCUAAGUUUGCAGCUGCCAUCUCUAACCCCAGAUUUCUGAUAUGUGUCAUCGAAACAUUUAGUUCUAGACAUUUUAAUAGGAUAUAAAAUUAUAGUUGUGCACUUAUAAAUGAAUCUGAAUAAAAUGACCUUUUUUUUUUA